rnacentral:rRNA from 1 species
UGGGGAAUUUUCCGCAAUGGGCGAAAGCCUGACGGAGCAAUACCGCGUGAGGGAGGACGGCUUUUGGGUUGUAAACCUCUUUUAUCAGGGAAGAAUCGAUGACGGUACCUGAUGAAUCAGCAUCGGCUAACUCCGUGCCAGCAGCCGCGGUAAUACGGAGGAUGCAAGCGUUAUCCGGAAUUAUUGGGCGUAAAGCGUCCGUAGGUGGUUUAUCAAGUCUGCUGUCAAAGCGUGCGGCUUAACCGCAUAAGGGCAGUGGAAACUGAUGAACUAGAGUGCGAUAGGGGUAACAGGAAUUCCCAGUGUAGCGGUGAAAUGCGUAGAUAUUGGGAAGAACACCAGCGGCGAAAGCGUGUUACUGGGUCUGCACUGACACUCAGGGACGAAAGCUAGGGGAGCGAAAGGGAUUAGAUACCCCUGUAGUC